GCCUUCCCGGUGAGUCUGCGGGCUUAAACGGACGCGGUAAAGCGUGCUAAGGUAGCUAAAUUAUGGCCUAUUAAUUGUAGGUCCUGUGAAUGGUUUGACGAGUCUUCAACUGUCUCUAGUUUUUUUGGUGAACUUGAAUUGGAUGUGCAAAUGCUUCCAUGGGUAAGAAAGACGAGAAGACCCCGUGAAGUUAGAAAUUUUGGUUGUUGGUGAGCUUUGUUGAGUGUAGGUUAGGCCACUUUAAGUGGUUUGAAAGAAAAGUGAACAGCGAUAGUUUUGGCUGGGGCAGCAAAGAAGCAAGGUUAGACUUCUUUAGUUUAAGGACAGGUGUGUGACGACCCACAAGUUUGUUGGUGUGAUUAGCAGAAGAAGUUACUCCGGGGAUAACA
rnacentral:rRNA from 1 species